UGGUCUGCAAAAUUAGUUUUAGGUCUAACCAUAGUCUCAUCUCUUCGCUUCUCCUUUUGUUAUCUCUUCAUCUUCUUUGUGGUUCAUUGUAUUUGUUUUAAAUGCAGCGAUCACGAAAUUGUGUGGUAACGAAGCCAUACACUCUUACCGUCUUUCGAUCUCUAAUCUCAAAGGUCUAUUCGUUUUUGAAUCAAUGUGUUCAAUAAUUCGAUCUCGCGUUUAUACGAUGAUUUGAUCUGAUAAGCUUCGCUACGAUCACUGCAUAUUUUCAAUUUCCUCUUUUAUCAGAUAGUUUAGUUGAUUUUCUCACGAAUUUUGGAAAUCUCUUUAGUUUCUUCAAUGGAUAAGAAGAUUUCGUUUACCGAUUAUCUUCCUGAUGGUGAUUGCGAUUAUGCAUUGCUAUACAACCGGCAAGAUCUUAGCGCUUUUCCAGAAGCAGAACAAUGUGGUGCAGCCUUCCGGGAUCGUGAUUGGGAGUGAUAUAUCAGGUCUCACUGCUGCUAGGAACCUCUCUGAAGCUUUUUUUAGCUCGACUGUUCUCGAAUCACGCGAUAGGAUUGGUGGUUGCAUCCACACUGAUUACUCCUUUGGUUGUCCUGUUGAUAUGGGAGCCACUUAUGAUUAUGUGGUGGUGGCUCUGGUUCGCCGUAAUCGACUCUUUGGUCAUCAUUCACCUCCGGUGACAGCCCUCCUGUCGGCCCUUCCCGAGAACCAUCAUCGCCGCGGUGGAGACAAAACCUGUUAUGAUUCUUUUCCAAUUAAAACAAGCUUUUAUCGAUAGAAAAGGAGAAAGACAAGCACCGAAAUGAUGAUGCAUUAAGAUGCAAAGGAAGGAGCUAAUUAACUAUAAGAUUGAUGUGGGGUCGUUGGAACUAUAUGCGUUUGAGGACAAUGCCAACGUCUACAUCAUUAUGGAGUAAGAAUCUACUAGGAGAGCAUAUCAGAUUCUUAUUUUGUUGACUUGCCUUCCUUCAAAGUUGUGUUGAACUGUGAGUAAACAGUUACUUUAUUCGAACUUUCUGGUUAUGUGGAGGUGGUGAAAUCCUUGACAGGCUACUAGCAAGGGGAGGGAAAUACUCUGAAGAUGAUGCAAAAGCAGAGCUUUCACGAAUCCUUAACGUUAUAGCUUUCUGUCAUCUCCAAGGAGUUGUUCAUCGAUAUUCUAAAACCAGAGAAUUUCUUGAAUAAAUGCAAAAAAAAAGAGUCUAAGAACCGUGGUUAUCCCCGCAACGUAAAUAAGCAAAAUGCAAAAAAUGAGAAAAUAUUAAGGAUUGAAGAACAAGAGUUUGGUGCGGAAUCCUUCUUCUGCCAUCAGCAACAGACGUUACUAUAAUGUCAAUCAAUGAAGACCAUAUUGUCAUUUUUGUGCGAGGAAAUUCGUUUUUUUUAAAUGGAAGAUGAUGACUUGCAAGCAGGGAGUUCAUUGGAUGAUUUUGCUGCUAGACCCGAUGUUGUCGCUACAUCUCAAAGGAAAGUAACUGAGAAAAAAAUAGCAGAGAAAUAGAGAGUAGUGCUUUAUUUGUGAGGGUAAAAGAAACAUUCACUUUCUUUUUGUUAUCUACAAGUUUAACAAUUUACAUGACAGAAACAGAGCAUAAACGGGCUGUGAAAUGGUGUCUUUUUCUAUUUAUUUUGGUUACUCAAACCAUCUUUUC